GGCAUCUAGAACACUGAGAAAUCCAGGAUGGACACUUAACACUACCAAAGAUUGAUCUAUUUUGGAGUUAGUUCUUUAGAUCAGAGGUCCCCAACCCCAGGACUGCGGACUGCCACUGGUCUUUGGCCUGUCAGGCACCCGGCCACACAGCUGGAGUGUGAAAAAAAAGGAAAAAACUGAAAAUCUCAAGAGGAUUCCAGGAAAUCAAAACAAUGAAUUAUUGAAUCAAGAAUUUGAAAGAGAAAAUAGAUGCAUACUGAAAAAAGAAUUUUGUUUAGUGAGAUAGAUGUAAUAAUGAAGGCAUGUUGAUAACGGGGGAGCUAUGUAUAUAUGAGGGGAGGGAUAUAUUGGAAAUCUCUGUAUCUUCCUCUCAAUCUUGCUGUGAUCCUAAAACUGCUCUAAAAAAUAUUUUGAGAAGGAAUAAUGAUGUGGUAAACAUGUUCUGUUAUUUAAAAAGAGAGACUUUUCAUAGCCGCCUCCCUCCCCCUCUACACACACACAGAGUCCUGUCCGUCUUCAUUCCCUUACUCAAUAAUUUGUACAGACACAGCCACUGGGCUCCAGUAAUCCUAAAGUUUCUAGAAAAUCAAGCACAGAAAAAGGUUAAAACCCUGAGGGAAUAAAAGAAUUCCUUUGCAUCCAUUGCAUUUCUCAGGAAGUGAACUAA
ensembl:lncRNA MTUS1-DT MTUS1 divergent transcript